GCGUCAGUAGUGCAACAGGUUAGAGCACGCGUUUCUGAUUAGAGUGAGAUGUGGGUUCGAGUCCCGCCUGGUGCA